rnacentral:rRNA from 1 species
GGGCCCGCACAAGCGGUGGAGCAUGUGGUUUAAUUCGAUGCAACGCGAAGAACCUUACCAGGCCUUGACAUCCUUGGAACUUUCUAGAGAUAGAUUGGUGCCUUCGGGAGCCAAGUGACAGGUGCUGCAUGGCUGUCGUCAGCUCGUGUCGUGAGAUGUUGGGUUAAGUCCCGUAACGAGCGCAACCCUUGUCCCUAGUUGCCAGCACUCGGGUGGGGAACUCUAGGGAGACUGCCGGUGACAAACCGGAGAAGGUGGGGACGACGUCAAGUCAUCAUGGCCCUUACGGCCUGGGCUACACACGGUGCUACAAUGGGCGGGUGACAGGAGGGCAGCGAAGUCGCGAGGCCCGAGCAAAUGCCCUUAAAACCGUUCGUAG